CCUACGGGUGGCAGCAGUAGGGAAUAUUGCUCAAUGGGGGAAACCCUGAAGCAGCAACGCCGCGUGGAGGAUGAAGGUUCUCGGAUUGUAAACCCCUUUUGUUAGAGAAGAUAAUGACGGUACCUAACGAAUAAGCACCGGCUAACUCCGUGCCAGCAGCCGCGGUAAUACGGAGGGGGCAAGCGUUACCCGGAAUCACUGGGGGUAAGGAGCGCGUAGGCGGGAUAGCAAGUCAGAUGUGAAAUCCUAUGGCUUAACCAUGGAACUGCAUUUGAAACUGUUAUGCUGGAGUAUGGGAGGGGUAGGUGGAAUUCUUGGUGUAGGGGUGAAAUCCGUAGAGAUCAUGAGGAAUACUGAUUGCGAAGGCGGCCUGCUGGAGCGUAACUGACGCUGAUGCGCGAAAGCGUGGGGAGCAAACAGGAUUAGAUACCCCUGUAGUC
rnacentral:rRNA from 1 species